rnacentral:antisense_RNA from 1 species
AAAGAUCGCAGCCUUCGGCAGCUCCUACAGGUUAUGUAAACCCCUGUAGGAGCUGCCGAAGGCUGCGAUCUUU